CUCCUAUGAACAGUCUCAUAUUAGUGGAAGAUAAGUCAGUAAGGCCCCACUUCGGCAGGUUUUGUUUUCGUUUCCUCAUGCCUCUGCAAUGCUCGGAGUCACCCACGCCUUACUCACUGCGGCUGGAACGAACCCAGACUCCUCACUCCUCCCACAGCCUCUGGCGCAGGGCGCUCCUUGCUUGAAAGAAACGUUUGCGAUUUUUAGUGGAAACGUCCGUGUUUUCUUGGUAACUGGUAAAUGGCUGUAGAUUACUGACACGCGGUCCUUUGUACGUAACAGAAGGCUUUGAGUGUUUCUGUGAGGAUCACCCUGUGAAGAAACGGCUGCAGUGAGAGCAGCCGAGGCGGGACGCAGCCCCGGACGUGGGGUCAGAGAGGAGCCGUGCGUGGGGUCAGAGAGGAGCCGUGCGUGGGGUCAGAGAGGAGCCGUGCGUGGGGUCAGAGAGGAGCCGUGCGUGGGGUCAGAGAGGAGCUGAGUUCAGGACGGGCAUGGCAGCCGCAGGAGGAGGGCAAGGCGGAGCCCAGGAGGGGCAAAGUGGACAAAGCCAGGGCUGGAGAGGGGAGACCCAGGAUCAGCACCACGUUCCACGGGGAUGGCACAGAAGCCUGAGAGGCCACGGCCAAAUGUGGAAAUUGGCUUUGCCAAAUCUUGCAUUUCAGAGAGAAAAGGCAAUAUGGCAUUAAUGCUUGCCUUGUUUAAUUUUCGUAAUUUUCCCUUUCUUCCUGCCAAUAGCUUGCUUUGUUAUCCGGAGGGUAGCCACGGUUUUAGCUCACAGUGAUGUCAACUUGAAGCUUCUCUCCACAAGCAGCUGUGACCUCAGCUGCCGUGCAGUCAGCUUCCCCGGCCUCCCUCCCCAGCCUCCCUGGUCUCCCAGGCACAAGGCUGGGCACUGGCUUCAGAGUGGCUGCAAGGGCACGGCCCCCAGGCCUAGGGCUGAUCAGCGUGAACAGUACCCAGCACACUUGCUUCAAAAAGUAAGAAGAUAUAGAACACAAGCUGCUUGUUCUCAUGACUAUAGCACAAACUAUAAAACAAAACAUCUUCCUCCAGAACACGGCAAGCUGGAUGGACAGUGAUCUGGACAAAAAUUUGCUGUAGGUUUUGUAACUGGGGUUCAGUGAGGACCAGGCUCCCCAGAGCAUACAUGUGGAGACAAUUAAGUUGAUCCCAUUUUCCAAGACUCAGAGGAGAUGUAUUUAUAUUAGGAAUAUAAACUUGCUAUUAAUGCAACUUCAGAAUGUCCAGGUCAUCCGUUGGGAAAAAAAAAAGAGUAAGUCUAGGGCUGGUUCGUGCUGUUGCUACAUGGAGGGAAUCCACAUCCAAGCCUGCCGCUCACAUGCUGGGACACAUUGCCUCAGCCUCCAUCUCUGGGAGUCCCACGCUUUCUCUCCUGGGUUGUCCCACUAUUCCUUUUGAAGUCCUCAUGUUAGUGACAGUUCAAUUUUCUCUUCACCUUCAAAAUUGCAGAGAACCUAAUUUCUACUGACCAGUCAAGCUUGUUUCAUUUAUCUUCCAUGUUAACUUCAAUUAAAAUGUUAACCAUCUGGAAUCUUUGGCCUCUUAUGUGACAAAAAUAGGCAUUAAAUUGUAUCAUUUCUUAAAUUCUCUGUUGAAAAGUCCAAAUACGUUACUGAAUAUGAUACAGAUUAGUAAGAAUUUGGGCUCAUUAAAUGUAAGAUAAUUUCAUAGCUUAAGGUAAUUUCACACCCCAAGGGACUUAUAACCUAAACACAAAGCAGAUCACCAACAUUAACUGUCAGCUGUCCACUGGAGAACUAUCUCAGACAAAAAAAUAAAAUUUGGAUUAGCUCUCCAUGGUGCACAAUACUUUCAUGAACCAUCUCUUUUGGGUUGGCAGCUGCAGUGUGUUCUGAGAGUAUGUUAAUGCUACAAUAACAGUAAAAAUAAAAUUAAGUUGGGAACAUACAGAAAAAAAGAAAUUGAUUACAUUAUUCCUAAUGACGACCUGAAUCAAAGUUGGCACUAAAUAAAUUUUUGUCAGAAAGGAGAAAAGAAAUGAGAGAAAUAAAAGAGAGGAGGCAGGAUUUUAUAUUCUGCUCCCUUUUUGGAAAA
rnacentral:lncRNA from 10 species